rnacentral:rRNA from 1 species
UACGUAGGGGGCAAGCGUUAUCCGGAAUUACUGGGUGUAAAGGGAGCGUAGACGGUAAUGUAAGUCUGGAGUGAAAGGCGGGGGCCCAACCCCCGGACUGCUCUGGAAACUAUGUUACUGGAGUGCAGGAGAGGUAAGCGGAAUUCCUAGUGUAGCGGUGAAAUGCAUAGAUAUCACACAGAACACCGAUUGCGAAGGCAUCUCACGAAUCCGCGAUUGACGCUGAUGCACGAAAGCGUGGGUAUCAAACAGG